rnacentral:rRNA from 1 species
GUCUUUUUGAAAAUAAUUUAAAGUCUAACCUGCCCAAUGAUUUAUUUAAUGGCCGCAGUAUUUUGACUGUGCAAAGGUAGCAUAAUCAUUAGUUUUUUAAUUGAAAGCUGGUAUGAAUGGUUGGAUAAGAAAUAAGCUGUCUCAAUUUAAUUUUUGUUAAAAUUUUAUUUUUAAGUUAAAAAGCUUAAAUUUAGUUUAAAGACGAGAAGACCCUAUAGAGUUUUAUAUUAUAAAAUUUUAAAUAAUUUAAGUUUUAUAAUUUUUAAAAUUUUAUAGUAUUUGAUUGGGGUGAUUAAAAAAUUAAAAAAACUUUUAUUUUAUUUAUACAUAAAUUAAUGAAUUUUUGAUCCAAUAAUUUUGAUUAAAAGAAUAAAUUACCUUAGGGAUAACAGCGUAAUUUUUUUUGAAAGUUCUUAUUGAAAAAAAAGAUUGCGACCUCGAUGUUGGAUUAAAAUUAAUUUUUGGUGAAGAAGCUAAAAUAUUAAAUCUGUUCGAUUUUUAAAAUUUUACA